rnacentral:lncRNA from 1 species
AUGUAUGAUGCCGUGCUUAACGCAACAAUGGGGAGAUUUACCCUUCCAAGUCGACAAUUCCGAGGACAUGAUCGUCUACAACUCCGUUCAUGAUGCUCUUAGCCUCGGAUGGUCUCCCGACCACACUUUACCCUUCCAAGUCGACGAUUGGGAUGACAUGAUCGACUACAACUCCCUUCACGACGCUCUUAGCCCCGGAUGGUCUCCCGACCACUCCUGGGAAUGUGUCAAACCCGAACAGACGUAUGAUCUUGAUCAUCUUUUUGGUCAAAGUCAUGAUCAGCUGCCACCUGAUGUUUCCACUCAAUCUCAACCCCACGAUUUUAAUGU